GAGAAACUGAGGCGCAGAUUUUCCCUGAUACCUAACUCUUCCAGAUUGCAUGGCUUGGAAAUAACAUUGAGCAUCAGUUCAAGAUCACAGCCAUUUGGAGGACAAAGCAGGGAUUUCCCAGGCCGUGAUUCAGCACAGCUUCGUUCCAGCAUGAUGGAAUUCAUGGGUGAGGCUGAGAUGGUAGUGCCCUGGUGGAUCUUUCCAUCAAAUCCACUGGACUUCAGGGAUCCAGCAGUGAUUUUUGACAGAAAACGAGGGCUGGCAAAUGAAAUGGCUGUGUGGGGUGAGUGCAGCACCAUACACAAGAAACAAUAUGAUUGCCCCCUACGUUUUGUGGGUCUGGCAUGCAGAAUGGCUUCAGUGCUGGUGUUUCUUCAAUGAGCCCAUUUCAGUGUGAAACUGUGAUAACUUGGGGAGAUCAGAAGAUCUCCAGAGGGUCAAUGUGCACCACAGCAAGCUUUCAAAUGCCAGGUGAUGAUACUGAAAGGGACACCCAGAGCUCCACCACGCCAGCAGUUCUUCAGCUUGAACCUGUUUGUGCAACUACCUCUUGGUUUAUUUUCAGCAUAGCACAAAUUUACUAAAAUUAACGUUUUGAAAAUGUGAAGGCACAGAAGCAAGUUAAACCUCCUGAGUAAAUUUGCUGUUCAGCACGCUCCAGAUGCGAUCGCUUUUAAUGAAAGCAAGACUACGUGAGGAUUGCCUGUAUUUCCUCAGGUUAGGGGUCCUUAUUCUUCCCCUGAUGCUCUCGCACAGAUCCUGUUGGUACCACUGAGUCAUAAUGUGAGCAGCAGAGAUUGCAGCACCACUCGCAGUUCUUGCCCACAGGUAGCCCAUGAACAUCGAUACCUUCUCCUCACUGCAUCAGCGCAGCAUGAAGCACUGGUGGAGCUUGUGUCUGUGCCCGGCCCCAGGGAAGG